CAGCCGCCGCGGGAAUACGGAGGGGGCUAGCGUUGUUCGGAAUUACUGGGCGUAAAGCGCACGUAGGCGGCUUGGUAAGUUAGAGGUGAAAGCCCGGAGCUCAACUCCGGAAUUGCCUUUAAGACUGCCGAGCUAGUAGGUGAGAGAGGUAAGUGGAAUUCCGAGUGUAGAGGUGAAAUUCGUAGAUAUUCGGAAGAACACCAGUGGCGAAGGCGGCUCACUGGCUCAUACUGGAUGCUGAGGUGCGAAAGCGUGGGGAGCAAACAGGAUUAGAUACCCCUGUAGUCCGUCUCUUAUACAC
rnacentral:rRNA from 1 species